AUUUUUUUUGCCAGUUUAGAAAUGAAGUAAAGCAAGUGUGUGUUAAUACAAGAAAAAUACAGGCACAGAAUCUAAUCCCAGAACCAAUAGAUACUGAAAAUGUCCCUUACAGAGUGAUUUGCAGAAAUGUAAAUUUCAAGACAGAGCUGCAAAACUUAAUUUGAAAAUCCAUGAACAAUUAAUGAAAAUUGUGAAAUGUAUUCCAGUUUAUGACACGUCAGUGGAUACAUUUACUAAUGCU